rnacentral:rRNA from 1 species
UCUGGUGGUUAUAGCGGAGUGUCCAAACCCGAUCCCAUCCCGAACUCGGCCGUUAAACGCUCCAGCGCCGAUGGUACUUCGUCUUAAGACGCGGAAGAGUAGGUCGCUGCCAGGC